CACUCUAAGGGACUGCCGGUGUUAAACCGGAGGAAGGUGGGGAUGACGUCAAGUCCUCAUGGCCUUUAUGACCAGGGCUACACACGUACUACAAUGGCCGAUACAAAGGGCAGCGACAUUGCGAGAUGGAGCGAAUCCCGAAAAGCCGGUCUCAGUCCGGAUUGGAGUCUGCAACUCGACUCCAUGAAGUUGGAAUCGCUAGUAAUCGUGGAUCAGCAUGCCACGGUGAAUACGUUCCCGGGCCUU
rnacentral:rRNA from 1 species